rnacentral:rRNA from 1 species
GGGCGAGUAAAGUGGCGCACGGGUGAGUAACGCAUGGAUAAUCUACCCUUAAGAUGGGGAUAACGGCUGGAAACGGUCGCUAAUACCGAAUACGCUCCCGAUUUUAUCAUUGGGGGGAAGGAUGGCCUCUGCUUGCAAGCUAUCGCUUAAGGAUGAGUCCGCGUCCCAUUAGCUAGUUGGCGGGGUAACGGCCCACCAAGGCAACGAUGGGUAGCCGGUCUGAGAGGAUGACCGGCCACACUGGAACUGGAACACGGUCCAGACUCCUACGGGAGGCAGCAGUGGGGAAUAUUGCGCAAUGGGCGAAAGCCUGACGCAGCGACGCCGCGUGAGGGAUGAAGGUUCUCGGAUCGUAAACCUCUGUCAGGGGGGAAGAAACCCCCUCGUGUGAAUAAUGCGAGGGCUUGACGGUACCCCCAAAGGAAGCACCGGCUAACUCCGUGCCAGCAGCCGCGGUAAUACGGAGGGUGCAAGCGUUAAUCGGAAUCACUGGGCGUAAAGCGCACGUAGGCGGCUUGGUAAGUCAGGGGUGAAAUCCCACAGCCCAACUGUGGAACUGCCUUUGAUACUGCCAGGCUUGAGUACCGGAGAGGGUGGCGGAAUUCCAGGUGUAGGAGUGAAAUCCGUAGAUAUCUGGAGGAACACCGGUGGCGAAGGCGGCCACCUGGACGGUAACUGACGCUGAGGUGCGAAAGCGUGGGUAGCAAACAGGAUUAGAUACCCUGGUAGUCCACGCUGUAAACGAUGGGUGCUGGGUGCUGG